rnacentral:lncRNA from 1 species
UUUUUUUUUCUCUUUCUUUUAUCUCUUUUUCUAGAGAGGAGUUGCUUAAACCAAUGGGACUAAAACCUGACGGGACAAUAACGCCUUUGGAGGAAGCACUCAGCCAGUAUUCUGUCAUCGAAGAGACCAGCUCGGACACAGACUGAAAGCAUCAUCACCUGCUCCACUCUCAAUAUGGCUUUUAUCAGCAUCUUUUCUCUGUAGCUCCAGGGGAAUCUUUUUCUCUAAAACGUUUAUGCCCUCGCUUUGGCUAGAAACACAUUAACUGGUUUACUCAUUGGGAAUCCAGCAUAUUUAAGAGGUAAUCCUGUGUUUUCUGCAACAUUGAGGCAUUCAUACAGAGCUGCAGUUAGGCAGAGUUGCGGGGCUAGAAGCAGAAGCAGACAUCCCAUUGCACCAGGACAGAGUACGGGACUUCACUCGGCAAGCAGCCCUGGUCAGAUCUGGCAGUCUUGUUGCCGAAGAUUCUGCGUGUCCUUCCACCCACCCAUGUCAACUGCCCCUUCUGAGUCUCUCCAGCGACCUGGGGCCCCUGAGGGCCCGAGGAGCUGAUAAAUAAGGGCUGAGGCAAGUGACUCCUUAGAUCAGCACUGACUGAACGAAAGCCAGGCAGCUGUUCUGUAAGCCUAGCCCUACCCUUCAUUUCAGUUUUAUACAAAUGUGGAAACACACACACACGCACGCACACACACACAUGGCCCCAGACUUACAAACCUAUUACACUCUAAAAGUGUGUCAUUUAGCGAAAACUUGAGAUUACAUUUCUUCCUGGGAGGAGUUAGAAGUAAUGGUUUAGUUCAGGCAGCUACACGUGCCUAUUUAUCCCUCGUUCCUGAACACUACUAGUACCGUAGGGCUGGACCACCAUCUGUACCGUUGCGUCCACAGUGUGCAUUCUGAGGUAUCACUCAGGGUGCCAAGUACACACUCAUCCUCCAGGCAACAGAGAGGAUGGGGCUCCCCGAGUAGUGGGAGUUCUUUUGUGGCCUGUGCUGGGGGUAGGGAGCCAACAGCACCCGUUUGUACAUAAAGGUCAUUCGUAUGUCACAUGUUUUAAACUGGGGUCUCUGUGUGUAUUUGUGUGUGUGUUCUACCUUUCUACCAUAUGUCAUCAGUUUAAUGGUAACUUUAUUUAUUUAAAAACAAAGAAACACAAAUAGUUACUAUUAAACUGAUUAAGGCUGUUUAUUUUUACUCCUAGAAAUGGUCAUAUGAAGUAGAUGUGCAAUCAUGUAGACAGCAGGCCAAGGUGAUCAGUGGCUAAAGUUGAAAAGGGGUUGGUUUCUUUCAUAUAUGUAUGUGUGUGUACAUGCGCAUACAUAGAUAUAUGCACACAUAGAUUAUGUGCUUGACCACUGCCUUUUAAAACUUUAAAUUAAAUAAAACAUUGGGGAUGAUUCAAUUUAGCCAUCUGUGUGUGUGUUUCUUUAUGGAUACGUGGUCUAAGGAGACUAUUGCACAGCUUAUGUUUUAAAGUCUUUCUCCACCUGCUCCCUCACCUGUCAUUGUGCAGCCUCUUUCCAGGACAGAGUGUGCAUAGAUAGCAUUGGUGAGAAUUCGUUUAGCUUCAAUGGUCCCUGGCCUUUGAGCUACCAGACAGAUGCCAGGAAGUUCUUAAAAUUUACUCUGAAGGGAACCCUUAAAGAGUAGUCACCAUCACUAAGAUUUAUAUUCAUUUCAAACAUGUUUGGUCACUUGGACUUUGAGCCCUCACCCCACACAAAGGCAGAGAAGGUUAGUGUGUUUCAAGCAGGCACCCUAAAAACAGUAAAAGGCGUCAGCCGGGAGUGGGGAGCCUUCAGUGCCCAGAUUCCUCCUCCAGAUCCAAAUGGGGGCCAGUGUGCACAGCAAGGUGAGCAGGAAGAAACACCAUCCAAGGCUCAGCAGAUAGUGUGUGUGACAGGUGGCCAGAGACAGCUUUCCUAAUAGUGGCCCUGAGCGGCUCUAAAAGGAUCAACCAAAAGACUUGUAAGAGACUCGGGAAUGUCCGUACAUCAAGGACUCUCAUCCAUAACUAUUGUUUUAGCCAAUGGCACCACCCAAUAAGAUUUUCAUUUUAUUCUGCCGUUCAUAAUUUUAGUUAAGUAGAAAAAAAUUCAGAGGAGCAGGAACUUAGUUAUUUUGUUACUUCAUUCUACAAAUUCAUUUCAAAAGUAUUUUUAUAAUCUCUGGUCAGAUAGCUUUUCCAUGAGCAUCAGCCUACGAAAGCAUGCUGUGCCCGGUGAAACGCCACCUUGCCGCCUCUGCGCAAGUGCUUGCACAGUGCCGUAGCUGUGCUCCGACGCUUUCAACAAGUUCCUUUCACCAUGCAUCUCUUGCAUCUAGGCACUUAAUUUUUUUUUUUAAGGAGUAAUUCUUUAAAAGAUGGAGUAGCUUCACCAUGCACACAGAGAGCACUGAGCAGCGAGCUUCAUGUCUUCUUUGUAACCUCACCCCAUCUCCAAGCAGAGCCUUUCCAGAGAGCUGCUUAACUUCCUAGACCCUCAGCAAGCCAGGGUCCAGCUGUGGGCUUGACACCUGCACCUUCCCUGUUGCAUGUAGGACCACUAGCCAGAGGCUUUAAGACAGCAGACAGGCUGCGGAAGGUGGUCCUUCUCAGACCAUUUUAAGCAAUAACUAUUUGAGCAGCAGUCUCUGGUGUUCCCAUCAGGGAGGUACCUGCACGAGCGGGAGAAGCUUGGUCAGUUAGCAGAUUUUAGGUGAAGACCUGGACACCCUUAGGUCAGAGAGCAACAGUGUGGGUCGGUCCUCCAGUGAGAGGGGUCAGCCAGUGACCACGGCCGUUUACAUACACUGGACUUGGGAAUGCACGCCCUAAAACAAGGCAUUGGAACUCCUCAGAGGAACAGUUUCCAGAUGUCUGUGGCCCGUUUGCAUGUCCAGUGGUUUUUAGUGGCAGUCAGGGCAAAUGCUGUCCUUUCUCUAUAAAUGACAGGUUGAAUGAAGCUUUGCAAAUGGCUGGACAGCACCCUGGCACGUGAGUCUUGCUGCCCCCAGGACUAGGUAUCACUCUCCUUCAGCUUUCUUUGGCCCCACCUUGUCUAUCAGAGUCAUACAUGCUUCUUGUAGAAUGUUUAGAAAGUGCGGAAACAGUAAAACUAGCUAUUGACCCAGAGCCCUCCCACCCCCGAGAGCAUCACUGUUCAUGUUUGGUGUAUUCCUUUCCUAUAUUUUUUCUAUGCAUAUAUAAUUUAUUUUACUACAAGAUUGGGAUCAUGCUGUGUUUACAGAUUUGUACCCUGCUUUCCUUAACAUUGUGAGCAUUUUCCCAUACCAAUAAAUAGUCUUCAAAUGUU